CAGCCGCCGCGGUAAAACAGAGGGUGCGAGCGUUAAUCGGAUUUACUGGGCGUAAAGCGUGCGUAGGCGGCUUCUUAAGUCGGAUGUGAAAUCCCUGAGCUUAACUUAGGAAUUGCAUUCGAUACUGGGAAGCUAGAGUAUGGGAGAGGAUGGUAGAAUUCCAGGUGUAGCGGUGAAAUGCGUAGAGAUCUGGAGGAAUACCGAUGGCGAAGGCAGCCAUCUGGCCUAAUACUGACGCUGAGGUACGAAAGCAUGGGGAGCAAACAGGAUUAGAUACCCCCGUAGUCCCUGUCUCUUAUAA
rnacentral:rRNA from 1 species